UACAGAGGGUGCAAGCGUUAAUCGGAUUUACUGGGCGUAAAGCGUGCGCAGGCGGUUCUAUAAGACAGAUGUGAAAUCCCCGGGCUCAACCUGGGAACUGCAUUUGUGACUGUAGAGCUGGAGUGCGGCAGAGGGGGAUGGAAUUCCGCGUGUAGCAGUGAAAUGCGUAGAUAUGCGGAGGAACACCGAUGGCGAAGGCAAUCCCCUGGGCCUGCACUGACGCUCAUGCACGAAAGCGUGGGGAGCAAACAGG
rnacentral:rRNA from 1 species